UCAAACUGGUGCGCAGUGAUACUUGUGUGCCGUGCGCCAGCUCUCCUCGGGAAGAGAGAGGGAAAUAACAUUUAUUAUUGCCUAAAGGUCCUACUUCUGGUAGGCUCCUGACCCAGCACGUGCGGCACCAGAAGUAGCCACAAUCCCAGCUGCUGGGACGCUGGUUGAGUGGUAGUUUAGAAAAUGUCCACUUUCUGAAGAUGGAGUUCGCGGGACACUUCCACAAGGUGAUGGAUAGGCCCCGCACGCUUUGCAAUGCGCGCAAGCGACCCGUACCGUACCGGCGGCCAACCCCUCCCAGCCCCAGCUCGUGCAGCCUGGGAUCCUGGUCAUGCACCACAUCAAGUCACUCCAGCAGCUCAGAGCACUCAUCGGACAACUCCUGAGGGAAAGAAAUGACAGCUAUACAGAUCACAAAUGCAGCAGCAAUUGCUUUGUCAAAUCAUUCCAUCAUGCACUUUGCUGCUGGCAACACAACAGCUGCGCUAGUUGGCUCAUGCUCGAUUUAUGAAUUUCCCAAAGCAUAAUUUUCAUGAAAGUUCCAAUAUACAAAUGCCAACAAAAGCAACACUAAAGCUACGCAUUUUGGUCACUUCUGUGGCAGUGCGCUUGUUUGCAUUAAACAAGAGUGCCAAAGAGCAGAAUGGGCCUGCCUCCACAACAAGUGUGGUAUCAGAACAGGCGCAACCCCGUAUAUUGUCUGUUUUGCACCGAUAAAAAUGUAGUAGAGUAUGCCCCAAGAGAAGAUUCAGAACAGUGUUAAUUACAAAUAAGGCACUUUUAGAAGACCAUGCAUAGUAAUUAUGGUGCACACCCAUUGUCUGCUCCUUUUAUUAUUACACAGGCAAGAUAUCUUGUAGCACAGGCUGAUUCGGGACAACAAUGCUUAAGUGCACUUUCCUAUCUCUUAAAGAAGCAAAUGACAAAAUGGAACAGAAAAAUAAAUCAUUACAAAUUAGGAGGAAAACACGUUUGAAGUGUUGCUGCAUGUCUUGAAGUGCCACACCUCAAGCUUGUCUGUACAUAGUCUGGCCACCACUGUUCCCUUGUUCAACUUUUGCCUUCCGUUCUUGGCUCCUGUUACCAUGCACAUUAUUUUCUUUGUACAUGGUGCUUGCUUGCUGUAGGCUGCUAUUAUGCACAGCAAUAGAAGCCAGGAGACUGCAGCAGUCACAGGAAAACACAACAUUGCAAGCAAGCAGCACUGAAUUCAAAAAUUGUUCUUGAGCAAGUCAGCCGAUACAUGGAGAAGCACAGAUAAGAAGCACAUGCUGUUGUGUUCCUUGCUUAUCUGCACUAAAAUGGCUUUCACAGCAUGGGAUUGACAGAGGCAGGUUCAGCAAACAAGCUAGGUUCUUGCUUGCACUAAGUGAACCCGAUAUUUAAUUGGUUGCACAUCAUACUGCAACUUUCAUUUCCAGACACUAAGUAUUUUAGACAGGCUGUCCAGUCCGGCGUUCACACAUCA